UGUCGACAAAGAUGCCCUGUCCUGCAACACCUGUGUGGCCCAUAAAUGGGAGCUCGAGGAGGUCCGCUUUUCCAACUGCGCUGAGGAAGGGAGGAAAUGCAGCAGCCAUGAUG
rnacentral:SRP_RNA from 14 species